rfam:Lonchura striata domestica isolate white83orange57 scaffold_548, whole genome shotgun sequence.
CCGACCGGAAGUGGCCGUGGCUGUGUGCGCGUGCGCGUGCGUGUGUGAGUGUGGCUGCGUGCGCGUGUGAGUGUGAGUGUGUCUGUGUGCGCGUGUGCGCAGUGCGAGUCAGGGGUGUCCGUGUGUGAGGCGCCAGCCAUCCUCCCCUCCCUACACGUUGAUCUUAUUCGAUCGGCCGGGCCCCGCCGGGCCGAGGUGAGAAGAAAGUGCCGCGAAGCCCUCGGGCGCUGUGCGGCUGGGCCGGGCGGGAUGAGUCGAUCAGAUAGGCGAGGCCACGGCCGCUGAGCGCCCUGCGAUUCUGACCCGC